GGGACAGGAACUCCUCUUAUAUAUUCUUCACCCUAGGUGGGGAAGACCCAAAGGCAGAAGCUUGCUCAGAAAGGCCAUGUGGGGAUGAAAGGGCAGGAUGCAUAAAAGUCUCAACUUUAUUUUUAUUUUUAGGGCUGCAGGUGCAGACUACGGAAGUUCUCAGGCUAGAGGUUGAUUUGGAGCUGGAAUCGCCAGCCUACACCACAGCCACAGCAAUGCCAGAUCUGAGACAUGUCUGCAAACUACACUACAGUUCAUGGCAACACUGGAUCCUUUAACCCACGGAGCGAGGACAGGGAUCGAACCCACAUCCUCGUGGAUACUAGUCAGGUUCAUUACCGCUAAGCCACAACUUUGGGAGCUCCAAAGUCUCUACUUUAAUUGGAUCCUCCUAUAAUUCUUUUUCCUGAUUAUUUGGCAUUCCCUGCCUUCUCUUAUUUUUCAGUACUGACUUCCCCCAUUCAAAAAAAUAAUAAUAAACAUGAAGCAAGCAACUACAGGCAUACCUCAUGAUAUGACACUCCACAGAUGCUGUGUUUUUUACAACCUGGAGGUUGGUGGCAGCUCUGCAUUAAGCCAGUCUAUUGGCACCAUUUUCCCAGCAGCGUUUGCUCCCUUCAUGUCUGUGUAUUCCCUGUGUGGUAAUUCUUGCAACAUUGUAAACGCUCCUCCAGCAAAAAGACUGCAACUCGAUGGAGGCCCAAAUGAGGGUUAGCAGUUUUUAGUAGUAAAGUAUUUUAAAAUUACUGUAUGUACAUUGUUUUUAGACACAGUGCUGUCACACACAUAAUAGAUGAGAGUGCCGCGUAAACCUAACUUUUAUAUGCACUGGGGAAAAAAAUUGUCGUACUUGCUGAAUGUGAUAUUGACUUUGUUGUGGUGGUCUCGAACUGGAAUCUGCAGUAUCUCCGAGGUAUGCCUGUGUUCGCAGAAAAUGCCAGAAUGGGAUGACUUGGUAACUUGUGCUGGGGAGUUAUAUGCAUUUGUUCACCCCUGUAGUUUUAUAUGUUCUUUAGAGUUCUCGCCACAUCUGUAAUACCUUUGGCCAAAUUGAUCAUAAGUUGGAAAUAGCUAUGAAUAAUCGCGGUCUUGCAUUACGUCAAGCUGUCUCACAGACAGCCUUUUAAAUUCCAGGUGUACCAUCCAUCACCCAAAGGCUGCUAAAAAACCAUUGACGGGUGUUCCCAUUGCGGCUCAGCGGUAACAACUCUGACUAGUAUCCAUGAGGUUGCGGGUUUAAUCCCUGGCCUCGCUGAGUGGGUUAAGGAUCUGGGGUUGCCGUGAUCUGCAGUUGUAGGUGGAAGAUGUGGCUCAAAUCCGGAGUGGCUGUGGCUGUCAUGUAGGUUGCAGACGUGGCUCCAAUCCGACAUUGCUGUGG
rnacentral:lncRNA from 1 species